AUUUUACAUUAAACAUACCUUAAAUAAUCAGCAAUGCAUACAAACAAUACAAGUUUAGCCGAGGAGGCACGCAAUAUGCAAGGACUUCUAGAUACAUACAAGAGGUCUCUCAUGAGUCAAAAAAUCUCUGAAAGUGAAAAUAACACGUUCUAUUCCAUUUCCUCCUUUAAGUUUUGAGUGGUCUUUAGUUUACACAAGUAUAAGAUAAUAUUUUCAUUGAAGUUCUGAUGUUUCAUGGCUAAAACUUGCUCACAUCUACACCAUAAACUGGUGCUCCUCUUUUUUGUAGUACUUGCCUUUGCACAAGAUGAAAAACAAUUCAUGUACAAUGGCUUCCAAGAAGCCAACCUUCAUCUUGAUGGGCAAGCAAAAAUCCACCCUAAUGGCCUUUUACAGAUGACCAACUCUUCUUUGCAGGGUAGUGGUCAUGUUUUCUACCCACAGCCCUUGAAUUUCAACAAAAGCCGUUCAUUUUCUACAACUUUCACUUUUGCCAUCAAUACUGAUGUGCCUGGUCAUGGAGGCCAUGGAAUUGCCUUUGUUAUCUCUGCAUCCAUUAACUUUACGCAUGCUGUUCCUGCUGAGUAUCUAGGUAUUUUUAACACCUCCAAUAAUGGAAAUAAGUCUAAUCAUGUAUUUGCUGUAGAAUUAGACACGGUUCAAAAUGCUGUUUUUGGAGAUAUUGAUGGCAACCAUGUUGGCAUAGAUGUGAAUGGCCUAAAGUCUGUUAGUUCUGCUUCAGUGGCGUACUAUUCUGAUGAAGAUAAGAAAAACAUCAGCCUUGAGCUAUCAGGUGGAACACCUAUGAAGAUUUGGAUUGAUUAUGAUGGAGAGAAGAUGCUUAUGAAUGUGACAUUAGCUCCACUUAAACAUCCAAAACCCCAAAAAAAUCUCUUGUCUACACAUGUUAAUCUUUCAUCAGUACUUCUUGAUUAUAUGUAUGUCGGUUUCUCAUCAGCUACCGGUCUUACUGGAACUGAGCAUUACAUAUCAGGUUGGAGCUGGAGUCAGAUUGGUCAAGCCCAGGAUCUUGACCUUUUUAAGCUUCCUCCAUUUCCCAAUAUUAGAAGCCACAAAAAUAAACCAAAAUUCCUUUUCAUAGUAUUGAUUGUUGUUUUAUUACUGUUGUUGGGAAUGAUUGCUGGAGUUGCUCUUGCUGUAUGGAGGAAGAAGUUUAAAGAGCUGAAGGAGCCAUGGGAACAGGAGUAUAUUUCUCAUAGAUUCUCUUAUAAAGAUAUCUAUAUAGCAACUAAGGGUUUCAAAGAUUCUGAGCUUCUUGGUUUUGGAGGUUUUGGCAAAGUUUAUAAAGGUGUGAUUCCAUCUAAACACACUCCAGUUGCAGUGAAAAAAAUUUCGCAUGAUUCUAGGCAGGGUAUGAGAGAAUUUGUAGCCGAAAUUGUAACCAUGAGAAGGCUAAGACAUCGAAACUUGGUUCAGCUCCUAGGUUAUUGCCGUAGAAAAGGAGAGCUCCUUCUGAUGUAUGAUUACAUGCCGAAUGGAAGCCUUGACAAGUUUCUCUUCAAGAAUAAGAACUCUGAUCUUUCUUGGUCUCAGAGAUUCAACAUUGCAAAGGGGGUGGCAUCUGCCCUUCUAUAUCUUCAUGAGGAGUGGGAACAAGUCGUUCUUCAUCGUGAUGUGAAGGCAAGUAAUGUUUUGUUGGAUGCUGACAUGAAUGCGCGGCUUGGUGAUUUUGGGUUAGCCAGGUUAUAUGACCAUGAAAGCGCUCCUCGGAGUACUCGUGUAGUUGGAACAAUAGGAUAUCUUGCUCCUGAGCUGAGUAUAACAGGCAAACCUACUACUGCCACUGAUGUAUUUGCUUAUGGAAUAUUCUUACUUGAGGUGGCCUGUGGAAGGCGGCCAAGCAGCCUGCAGGAGUUUUCUACAGAGGACUAUGUAUUGGUUGAUUGGGUAUAUGACUGCUGGAAGAAGGGAGAAAUUCUUGAGACAAGUGAUCCCAUGCUGGAAGGAAAUUACCAGGCUGAAGAAAUGGAACUUGUUUUGAAAUUAGGCCUGCUGUGUUCUCAUCCUAAGCCAGAAGGAAGGCCUAGCAUGAGACAAGUGGUUCAAUUCCUUAACGGAGAUGCAAACCUGCCGGAUAUUCCUUCUGAUUAUGACCAUGAAAGCAACAGUUUCUUUGGUGGAAGUUGGAGUAUAUCUAUGUCAGUUCCAUCAUCCAUGUCAUUCGGUGUAUCUCAGGCCACAGUAUCAAGCGAUAAUUCAGCUGUACAUUAUGGUCGAUGAGUUUUUGUUACUAUUUUACAAUCAUAUUUAAAGAGGUUUUGCAUUUUGUGUCUUGCAGAAAAAUCCACAUAAUCAUACGGUAAAAUGUCUUUGGCCUAUAUAUAUAAUGUAAUCUUGAACGACAAGUGCUGUGAGUUAAGUGGAGCUUUGUUUUUCAAAUUCAAUAUUUCUGGAAAUGAAUUCUGGAAGCACUCCUUUUUUUCUUCUCCGAGGAAAUUUCAGACUUGUUGCAGCGUUUAAUUUUGACCAUUAUAAAGUCAG